AGGCCUAACACAUGCAAGUCGAGGGGUAACAGGGAAAAGCUUGCUUUUCCGCUGACGACCGGCGCACGGGUGCGUAACGCGUAUGCAACCUACCUUUUACAGGAGUAUAGCCCAGAGAAAUUUGGAUUAAUCCUCCAUAAUAUCUUUUUCAUGCAUAUGAAAAAGAUUAAAGCUUCGGUGGUAAAAGAUGGGCAUGCGUUUUAUUAGCUAGUAGGUGAGGUAACGGCUCACCUAGGCCACGAUAAAUAGGGGCCCUGAGAGGGGGAUCCCCCACACUGGUACUGAGACACGGACCAGACUCCUACGGGAGGCAGCAGUGAGGAAUAUUGGACAAUGGACGAAAGUCUGAUCCAGCCAUGCCGCGUGCAGGAUGACGGCCCUAUGGGUUGUAAACUGCUUUUAUACAGGAAGAAACACUCCCACGUGUGGGGGCUUGACGGUACUGUACGAAUAAGGAUCGGCUAACUCCGUGCCAGCAGCCGCGGUAAUACGGAGGAUCCAAGCGUUAUCCGGAAUUAUUGGGUUUAAAGGGUCCGCAGGCGGUCUAUUAAGUCAGAGGUGAAAUCUUGCAGCUCAACUGUAAAAUUGCCUUUGAUACUGGUAGACUUGAGUCAUUGUGAAGUGGUUAGAAUGUGUGGUGUAGCGGUGAAAUGCAUAGAUAUCACACAGAAUACCGAUUGCGAAGGCAGAUCACUAACAAUGUACUGACGCUCAUGGACGAAAGCGUGGGGAGCGAACAGGAUUAGAUACCCUGGUAGUCCACGCCGUAAACGAUGGAUACUAACUGUUCGACCUUCGGGUUGAGUG
rnacentral:rRNA from 1 species